rnacentral:misc_RNA from 1 species
UUUCCGUAGGUGAACCUGCGGAAGGAUCAUUAUUAUAUAACCGAGGUUCGAGGUCUGUCGCUGACCUGAAAGGUCGGGGACGCCUGAGUGCCCUCACACACAUCCAUCUCACCCCUAUGUUCACAACCGCGUUGUUUCUCCUUUGGUUCGUUCGGAAGUGUGCUGACGUUUUCACACAAACAUUGAAUGCAUUGUAGAAUGUAUUUUGGGUUUUUGCGCUCGCGAAAUCGAUACAACUUUCAACAACGGACGUCUUGGCUCUCGCAACGAUAAAGAACC